rnacentral:lncRNA from 1 species
AAAUUGUAAAGGUUUUCUUGUGAGACCCAAUUUUGGGAAUCAAACCAGUGGCUCCUGGGUAGGAAACAAACACAUGAAACCACUUUAAUACUGAAUUAUUAGUCUUUACUGUCUUCCUCUCACACACAGAGCUGUUGAUCAUUUGAGAGAGUCUGGAAGGAACAUUUGAUGGUAAAAUUCAUGUCCAGAGGUAGACAUCCACUCUGUGAGGGGGAUGAAGUUUUGUGUGGAGGAAGGAGCUGGAUGUUUUCUCCGAGUGGAGCUGCUGCAAGGGCCUUUCCUGCUGCUGUCACCAGUUUCAGUGGAUGCUCAGCUGCCUUCAGGUGUGAGCUGGCAGUGGCUGUCCCUGUGGGUGCAGACUGGUGACCCAGGCCCUGCCUGGGGAGGAAAGCAGCUGCAAGAGAGCUGGGAAAUUCCUGGUGUUGUGCUGGUCCUGGGGAAUGCUGCUGGCUGGAUUUAUGGGAAGGUGGGUGGUUAUCUCCUCCCUGCCCUUCUCUCACCUCCCUGGGCCCUACAGCAGCCCUGAAUGUGGUCCCUGUGUCCUUCCAUCGAGGUCAGAGCUGAGGCUGGACCUGCCCCAGAUCAUCUCCCUUCUGGUCCCCAGAGUUUGAAGUACUGCUCUGACAAGGAGUUUGACACAACCAAGUGAGCUGUGCUCCAGCCAGAGCCAGAAAGUUUCAUGUUCAGAUUUUUAAAUGUGUCAUUUCCAG